rnacentral:rRNA from 1 species
AGCGAACGCUGGCGGCAGGCCUAACACAUGCAAGUCGAGCGCCCCGCAAGGGGAGCGGCAGACGGGAGAGUAACACGUGGGAACGUACCUUUCAGUUCGGAACAACCAAGGGAAACUUUGGCUAAUACCGGAUACGCCCGUAAGGGGAAAGAUUCAUCGCUGAAAGAUCGGCCCGCGUCUGAUUAGCUAGUUGGUGGGGUAAUGGCCCACCAAGGCGACGAUCAGUAGCUGGUCUGAGAGGAUGAUCAGCCUCACUGGGACUGAGACACGGCCCAGACUCCUACGGGAGGCAGCAGUGGGGAAUAUUGGACAAUGGGCGCAAGCCUGAUCCAGCCAUGCCGCGUGGAUGAUGAAGGCCUUAGGGUUGUAAAGUCCUUUUAACGGGGAAGAUAAUGACGGUACCCGUAGAAUAAGCCCCGGCUAACUUCGUGCCAGCCGCCGCGGUAAGAC